rnacentral:lncRNA from 1 species
AUUUUUAUUGGCUUUGAACUAGCAGUCAGUACUGUGAGUACUCUCAGAUCUGUACUUAGUGUCUUUGUUGUGGUUAUGUCCCAAGCCAGGAGCCUGUAAGUCAGUGGUUGUCGUUUGUUGCCGUGUAACAUAUUUGUUUUUCGUUCAUUAUUUUGUACAUGAAUUAUGCCAUUAGUUUUCUCGUUUUACAUUAGUCAUUUUGGGGCCUUUUGUAGCUAUGUGGUAUGGUAU